UCCGCAGAGAAUCUCCUUUUGAACUCAGUGGACGAACAUGGCGGUCUGUUUGAUUAAUCUGCUUCCAUCCAGCUUAAAAUAUGAAGCUUUUCAAACUGCCGACGCCGUGUUAUGCUUUUGAAACGGCUGGCUGGAUUCUCCAGUAAUGAGUCUGAAGCAGCAGCAGCACAUGAAGCCUGGCAGCUGCCACCUUCAGUUCUUGAAGCUGGUGAAUGAUCACGAGCUGUAAACACGCUGGCUGGAUUCUCCAGUAAUGAGUCUGAAGCAGCAGCAGCACAUGAAGCCUGGCAGCUGCCACCUUCAGUUCUUGAAGCUGGUGAAUGAUCACGAGCUGUAAACACGCUGGCUGGAUUCUCCAGUAAUGAGUCUGAAGGAGCAGCAGCACAUGAAGCCUGGCAGCUGCCACCUUCAGUUCUCGGAGGCGGUGAAUGAUCACGAGCUGUAAACACGGUUUCAUCCAGAGAGCUGAAGAAAAAAGAAGAAAUCAAUAUUACAAUAAUUUUUAUGUCAUUUGAAGCACUUGUUGGUUAAGUCGAACUGCAGAUUGUGUGUUUUGAUGUGGGAAUAUGUGAAAGUCAUCUGCUGCUAAACAUUCAGGGCAAAUAUUAAAAACCUGAAAAUGAAAA